UACGAAGGGGGCUAGCGUUGUUCGGAUUUACUGGGCGUAAAGCGCGCGUAGGCGGGCAUUUAAGUCAGGGGUGAAAUCCCAGGGCUCAACCCUGGAACGGCCUUUGAUACUGGAUGCCUGGAGAUCGGGAGAGGUUGGUGGAAUUCCGAGUGUAGAGGUGAAAUUCGUAGAUAUUCGGAAGAACACCAGUGGCGAAGGCGGCUCACUGGACUGGUAUUGACGCUGGAGUGCGAAAGCAUGGGGAGCGAACGGG
rnacentral:rRNA from 1 species